rnacentral:lncRNA from 1 species
ACAAUGGCAAGUUUCAAGCUCAAAUUCAUGGAAGCAGUAUUUUCUCAUAGAAGUAAAAGGACAUCCCCAAAAAUGAACAAAAUUACACUGGGGACUGUCAAAGGAAUUCACAUCAGCAACAGUUAGGAAACAGACAGGCAACAAUCAGAGAUCAUUUUAUUUGCUAUACAUUUAUCGAUCGAUUCCCUCAAUCUUGUCUUCAACUUCUGAGUAUAAUUGCUUGAGUUUCUCAAUGUUCUCUUCAGAAGUUUCCCAGUAUCCACGCCCGUUGGCUUCCAAGAAUGUCUGAAGCAACUUCCUGAAAGAAUUUGGGUUUGUGUUCAUGAGCCUGUUCAACAUCUCUUCGUCUUGAAUGAAGGUUGUGUUGGCUUCUUCGUACACCCAAUUAUCAACUUGUCCUGAAGUUGCACUCCACCCCACUGUGUUAGUUAAUCGUUUCUCAAUCUCACGAACACCCUCGUAGCCAGUUGAAAGCAUGCCUUCAUACCACUUUGGGUUCAACAACUUUGUCCUCAGAUCUUGAAUGAAGGUUGUGUUGGCUUCUUCAUAUACCCAAUUAUCAACUUGGCCUGAAGUUGCACUCCACCCCACUGUGUUAGUUAAUCGUUUCUCAAUCUCACGAACUCCCUCGUAGCCAGUGGAUAGCAUGCCUUCAUACCACUUU